ensembl:lncRNA
GUCUCGUUCUUUUUUUGUUGUUAUUUUUAAGCUCGAAGAACACUGGGUGAUCUUUUAUAGAUAAUGACUGACAUGAAGGAGAGGCAGCUACAAUCCUCUGAGCGACGGUCCAUCACGGUCACAUGGACGUCCUCGCUAGGGGGAGCCCUCGAGUGGAUGUUGAGCAGGACGGACGGCGAUGAGUGAUGUUGAAAGCGGGUGGAGGGUACCAUUAGGACGCGCACUGCAACCUGUUGCUCACUCGAGAAGUCUGCAUUUCCAAUUUUGAAAAGUCCUAAGAUUUGUCACAUAUUAUGUUUAAUUAAAUAUAAAAACGAACAAAAAUAAAACCCCA